rnacentral:rRNA from 1 species
AGUGAACGCUGGCGGUAGGCCUAACACAUGCAAGUCGAACGGCAGCACAGUAAGAGCUUGCUCUUACGGGUGGCGAGUGGCGGACGGGUGAGGAAUACAUCGGAAUCUACUUUUUCGUGGGGGAUAACGUAGGGAAACUUACGCUAACACCGCAUACGACCUACGGGUGAAAGCAGGGGAUCUUCGGACCUUGCGCGAUUGAAUGGGCCGAUGUCGGAUUAGCUAGUUGGCGGGGUAAAGGCCCACCAAGGCGACGAUCCGUAGCUGGUCUGAGAGGAUGAUCAGCCACACUGGAACUGAGACACGGUCCAGACUCCUACGGGAGGCAGCAGUGGGGAAUAUUGGACAAUGGGCGCAAGCCUGAUCCAGCCAUACCGCGUGGGUGAAGAAGGCCUUCGGGUUGUAAAGCCCUUUUGUUGGGAAAGAAAAGCAGCAGGUUAAUACCCCGCUGUUCUGACGGUACCCAAAGAAUAAGCACCGGCUAACUUCGU